CCUACGGGUGGCUGCAGUGGGGAAUAUUGGACAAUGGGCGCAAGCCUGAUCCAGCCAUGCCGCGUGGGUGAUGAAGGCCCUAGGGUUGUAAAGCCCUUUCGGCGGGGAAGAUAAUGACGGUACCCGCAGAAGAAGCCCCGGCUAACUUCGUGCCAGCAGCCGCGGUAAUACGAAGGGGGCUAGCGUUGCUCGGAAUCACUGGGCGUAAAGCGCACGUAGGCGGACUCUUAAGUCGGGGGUGAAAUCCUGGAGCUCAACGUCAGAACUGCCUUCGAUACUGGGAGGCUUUGAGUUCGGGAGAGGUGAGUGGAACUGCGAGUGUAGAGGUGAAAUUCGUAGAUAUUCGCAAGAACACCAGUGGCGAAGGCGGCUCACUGGCCCGAUACUGACGCUGAGGUGCGAAAGCGUGGGGAGCAAACAGGAUUAGAUACCCUAGUAGUC
rnacentral:rRNA from 1 species